AUCUCCCCCAUAAGCCUCUGAGACUGUCAAGCCCCCCCAACCCACUUCAUCUAUCAUUUAUUCAACAAGUAUUUGUCAAACUGAAUUGAAGGAUUCCAGGAAGAAAUAUCGACUGUGCCAACAAAAUCUGUUUUACAAAUGUUUGAAACAAUCUCAAUGAAGAGGAUGAGUGGGAAAGUUACUGAUCCAAGUAUCUCUGAAAUUUAGAGUCUGUAAGACUAAAGGCAAAAUGAACUGCACAUAAUUAACGUACUCUAGCUGAUAAAGUUGUUUCCCAUUGGAUUAUGGGUUAACAAUUCUAUAUUGUUACAUGUGUAUCCUGAAAUGGGACAAUAAAG
rnacentral:lncRNA from 1 species